UGGUAUGAGUGGGUCUUUUCUGGGGUGAAGGAGACUUACCUGUACCAUCACACAGCACCAAGAAAAAGCGAGGAACACCGAGAAAAAGGAUAGAACAGAAACAAUACCAGAAAAGGAAUGAUAUAGAAACAGAAUAAAAGAAGAAGGCGUUUGGUGUUGUGUGCUGGGACGAGUGGGUCUUUUCUGGGGUGAAGGAGACUUACCCGUACCAGCACACAGCACCAAGAAAAGGCGAUACGAGAGAACACCAAGGAAAGCGGAUAGAACAAAAACAACACCAGA